UAGAGUUUGAUCAUGGCUCAGGAUGAACGCUAGCGACAGGCUUAACACAUGCAAGUCGAGGGGCAGCGGGGAGGUAGCAAUACUUCCGCCGGCGACCGGCGCACGGGUGAGUAACACGUAUGGAACCUGCCCGUAGCAGGGGGAUAAGCGGAAGAAAUUCCGUCUAAUACCGCGUAAUAACUCCGAGAGGCAUCUCAUGGAGUUUAAAGGGUAACACCGGCUACGGAUGGCCAUGCGGCGCAUUAGCUAGUUGGCGGGGUAACGGCCCACCAAGGCGACGAUGCGUAGGGGUUCUGAGAGGAAGGUCCCCCACACUGGUACUGAGACACGGACCAGACUCCUACGGGAGGCAGCAGUGAGGAAUAUUGGUCAAUGGGCGCGAGCCUGAACCAGCCAAGUCGCGUGAGGGAAGACGGUCCUAUGGAUUGUAAACCUCUUUUGUCGGGGAGCAAAAGACGCCACGUGUGGCGUUCCGAGAGUACCCGAAGAAAAAGCAUCGGCUAACUCCGUGCCAGCAGCCGCGGUAAUACGGAGGAUGCGAGCGUUAUCCGGAUUUAUUGGGUUUAAAGGGUGCGCAGGCGGAAGAUCAAGUCAGCGGUAAAAUUGAGAGGCUCAACCUCUUCGAGCCGUUGAAACUGGUUUUCUUGAGUGAGCGAGAAGUAUGCGGAAUGCGUGGUGUAGCGGUGAAAUGCAUAGAUAUCACGCAGAACUCCGAUUGCGAAGGCAGCAUACCGGCGCUCAACUGACGCUCAUGCACGAAAGUGUGGGUAUCGAACAGGAUUAGAUACCCUGGUAGUCCACACAGUAAACGAUGAAUACUAAUUGUUCGGGGAGAAUGAUCCCUGAGUGAUACAGCGAAAGCGUUAAGUAUUCCACCUGGGGAGUACGCCGGCAACGGUGAAACUCAAAGGAAUUGACGGGGGCCCGCACAAGCGGAGGAACAUGUGGUUUAAUUCGAUGAUACGCGAGGAACCUUACCCGGGCUCAAACGACACAGGAAUACUUUUGAAAGGAGGUAGCUCUACGGAGUCUGUGUCGAGGUGCUGCAUGGUUGUCGCCAGCUCGUGCCGUGAGGUGUCGGCUUAAGUGCCAUAACGAGCGCAACCCCCAUCGCCAGUUACCAGCAAGUCAAGUUGGGGACUCUGGCGAGACUGCCGGCGCAAGCUGUGAGGAAGGCGGGGAUGACGUCAAAUCAGCACGGCCCUUACGUCCGGGGCGACACACGUGUUACAAUGGCAGGUACAGAGAGAAGCAAUGCGGCGACGCAAAGCGGAACUUGAAAGCCUGUCUCAGUUCGGAUUGGAGUCUGCAACUCGACUCCAUGAAGCUGGAUUCGCUAGUAAUCGCGCAUCAGCCAUGGCGCGGUGAAUACGUUCCCGGGCCUUGUACACACCGCCCGUCAAGCCAUGGAAGCCGGGAGUGCCUGAAGUGUGCAACCGCAAGGAGCGCCCUAAGGUAAAACUGGUGACUGGGGCUAAGUCGUAACAAGGUAGCCGUA
rnacentral:rRNA from 1 species